rnacentral:rRNA from 1 species
CGGCUAACUCCGUGCCAGCAGGCCGCGGUAAUACGGAGGAUGCAAGCGUUAUCCGGAUUCAUUGGGGUUUAAAGGGUGGCGUUAGGCGGAAUAGUAAGUCAGUGGUGAAAGGCUGCCAGCUUAACUGUAGAAUUGCCAUUGAUACUGUUAUUCUUGAGUGUAGUUGAGGUAGGCGGAAUGUGUAAUGUAGCGGUGAAAUGCUUAGAUAUUACACAGAACACCGAUUGCGUAGGCAGCUUACUAAACUAUAACUGACGCUGAGGCACGAAAGCGUGGGGAGCGAACGGGAUUAGAUACCCUGGUAGUCCACGCUGUAAACGAUGAUCACUCGUUGUUGGCAAUACAUCGUCAGCGACUGAGCGAAAGCAUUAAGUGAUCCACCUGGGGAGUACGUUGGCAACGAUGAAACUCAAAGGAAUUGACGGGGGCCCGCACAAGCGGUGGAACAUGUGGUUUAAUUCGAUGAUACGCGAGGAACCUUACCUGGGCUUAAAUGUAGACUGCAUGUGGUGGAAACAUCACUUUCCUUCGGGACCGUCUACAAGGUGCUGCAUGGUUGUCGUCAGCUCGUGCCGUGAGGUGUCGGGUUAAGUCCCAUAACGAGCGCAACCCCUAUUGUUAGUUGCUAACAGGUAAUGCUGAGGACUCUAGCGAAACUGCCGGUGUAAACCGAGAGGAAGGUGGGGAUGACGUCAAAUCAGCACGGCCCUUAUGUCCAGGGCUACACACGUGUUACAAUGGUUGGUACAGAGGGCAGCUACCGGGCGACCGGAUGCUAAUCUCGAAAGCCAAUCUUAGUUCGGAUCGGAGUCUGCAACUCGACUUCGUGAAGCUGGAAUCGCUAGUAAUCGCGCAUCAGCCACGGCGCGGUGAAUACGUUCCCGGGCCUUGUACACACCGCCCGUCAAGCCAUGGAAGUUUGGGGUACCUGAAGUCCGUAACCGCAAG